rnacentral:rRNA from 1 species
UACGAGUGCCCCGAGCGUUAUCCGGAAUCAUUGGGCGUAAAGGGCGUGUAGGUGGCAGUGUUAGUCUAUUGUUAAAACCUGGGGCUUAACCCCAGAUGUGCGAUAGAUACGGCACAGCUAGAGGAUGGCAGGGAUGUAUGGAACUCAUGGAGUAGGGGUGAAAUCCGUUGAUAUCAUGGGGAACACCAAAAGCGAAGGCAGUACAUUGGGCCACUCCUGACACUGAAACACGAAAGCGUGGGUAGCGAAUGGG